rnacentral:rRNA from 1 species
AUUGAACGCUGGCGGCAUGCCUUACACAUGCAAGUCGAACGGUAACAGGUCUUCGGAUGCUGACGAGUGGCGAACGGGUGAGUAAUACAUCGGAACGUGCCCGAUCGUGGGGGAUAACGAAGCGAAAGCUUUGCUAAUACCGCAUAAGAUCUAAGGAUGAAAGCAGGGGACCGCAAGGCCUUGCGCGAACGGAGCGGCCGAUGGCAGAUUAGGUAGUUGGUGGGAUAAAAGCUUACCAAGCCGACGAUCUGUAGCUGGUCUGAGAGGACGACCAGCCACACUGGGACUGAGACACGGCCCAGACUCCUACGGGAGGCAGCGGUGGGGAAUUUUGGACAAUGGGCGAAAGCCUGAUCCAGCCAUGCCGCGUGCAGGAUGAAGGCCUUCGGGUUGUAAACUGCUUUUGUACGGAACGAAAAGACUCUGGUUAAUACCUGGGGUCCAUGACGGUACCGUAAGAAUAAGCACCGGCUAACUACGUGCCAGCCGCCGCGGUAAUAC